rnacentral:rRNA from 1 species
GGUUGCGAUUAUACCAGCACUAAUGCACCGGAUCCCAUCAGAACUCCGCAGUUAAGCGUGCUUGGGCGAGAGUAGUACUAGGAUCGGUGACCCCCUGGGAAGUCCUCGUGUUGCAACCC